GAUGAACGCUGGCGGCGUGCCUAACACAUGCAAGUCGAGCGAUUYUCUUCGGAGAAGAGCGGCGGACGGGUGAGUAACGCGUGGGUAACCUGCCUCAUACACAUGGAUAACAUACCGAAAGGUAUGYUAAUACAGGAUAACAUAAGAGAUUCGCAUGUUUCUCUUAUCAAAGCUCCGGCGGUAUGAGAYGGACCCGCGUCUGAUUAGCUAGUUGGUAAGGUAAUGGCUUACCAAGGCGACGAUCAGUAGCCGACCUGAGAGGGUGAUCGGCCACAUUGGAACUGAGACACGGUCCAAACUCCUACGGGAGGCAGCAGUGGGGAAUAUUGCACAAUGGGCGAAAGCCUGAUGCAGCAACGCCGCGUGAGUGAUGAAGGCCUUCGGGUCGUAAAACUCUGUCCUCAAGGAAGAUAAUGACGGUACUGAGAGAAGCCCC
rnacentral:rRNA from 1 species